UACCUACUCCCUCCGUUCUGAAUUACUUGUCGCAGGUAUGGGUAUAUUUAGAUAUAUUUUAGUUCUAGAUACAUCCAUUUCCGCGACGAGUAAUUUGGAACAGAGGGAGUAUGUG
rnacentral:pre_miRNA from 1 species